rnacentral:rRNA from 1 species
AGCGAACGCUGGCGGCAGGCUUAACACAUGCAAGUCGAACGGGCACUUCGGUGUCAGUGGCAGACGGGUGAGUAACACGUGGGAACGUACCUUUUGGUUCGGAACAACUGAGGGAAACUUCAGCUAAUACCGGAUAAGCCCUUACGGGGAAAGAUUUAUCGCCGAAAGAUCGGCCCGCGUCUGAUUAGCUAGUUGGUAGGGUAAUGGCCUGCCAAGGCGACGAUCAGUAGCUGGUCUGAGAGGAUGAUCAGCCACAUUGGGACUGAGACACGGCCCAAACUCCUACGGGAGGCAGUAGUGAGGAAUAUUGGACAAUGGGGGCAACCCUGACCCAGCCAUGCCGCGUGAGUGAUGAAGGCCCUAGGGUUGUAAAGCUCUUUUGUGCGGGAAGAUAAUGACGGUACCGCAAGAAUAAGCCCCGGCUAACUUCGUGCCAGCCGCCGCGGUAA